rfam:Enterobius vermicularis genome assembly, scaffold: EVEC_scaffold0001121
UCCUCGGUAGUAUAGUGGUUAGUAUCCGCGCCUGUCACGUGCGAGACGCCGGUUCGAUUCCGGGCCGGGGAG